GACGAACGCUGGCGGCGUGCUUAACACAUGCAAGUCGAACGGAAAGGCCCUGCUUUUGUGGGGUGCUCGAGUGGCGAACGGGUGAGUAACACGUGAGUAACCUGCCCUUGACUUUGGGAUAACUUCAGGAAACUGGGGCUAAUACCGGAUAGGAGCUCCUGCUGCAUGGUGGGGGUUGGAAAGUUUCGGCGGUUGGGGAUGGACUCGCGGCUUAUCAGCUUGUUGGUGGGGUAGUGGCUUACCAAGGCUUUGACGGGUAGCCGGCCUGAGAGGGUGACCGGCCACAUUGGGACUGAGAUACGGCCCAGACUCCUACGGGAGGCAGCAGUGGGGAAUAUUGCACAAUGGGCGGAAGCCUGAUGCAGCAACGCCGCGUGCGGGAUGGCGGCCUUCGGGUUGUAAACCGCUUUCGCCUGUGACGAAGCGUGAGUGACGGUAAUGGGUAAAGAAGCACCGGCUAACUACGUGCCAGCAGCCGCGGUGAUACGUAGGGUGCGAGCGUUGUCCGGAUUUAUUGGGCGUAAAGGGCUCGUAGGUGGUUGAUCGCGUCGGAAGUGUAAUCUUGGGGCUUAACCCUGAGCGUGCUUUCGAUACGGGUUGACUUGAGGAAGGUAGGGGAGAAUGGAAUUCCUGGUGGAGCGGUGGAAUGCGCAGAUAUCAGGAGGAACACCAGUGGCGAAGGCGGUUCUCUGGGCCUUUCCUGACGCUGAGGAGCGAAAGCGUGGGGAGCGAACAGGCUUAGAUACCCUGGUAGUCCACGCUGUAAACGGUGGGUACUAGGUGUGGGGUCCAUUCCACGGGUUCCGUGCCGUAGCUAACGCUUUAAGUACCCCGCCUGGGGAGUACGGCCGCAAGGCUAAAACUCAAAGGAAUUGACGGGACCCCGCACAAGCGGCGGAGCAUGCGGAUUAAUUCGAUGCAACGCGUAGAACCUUACCUGGGUUUGACAUGGAUCGGGAGUGCUCAGAGAUGGGUGUGCCUCUUUUGGGGUCGGUUCACAGGUGGUGCAUGGCUGUCGUCAGCUCGUGUCGUGAGAUGUUGGGUUAAGUCCCGCAACGAGCGCAACCCUUGUUCACUGUUGCCAGCACGUUAUGGUGGGGACUCAGUGGAGACCGCCGGGGUCAACUCGGAGGAAGGUGGGGAUGACGUCAAGUCAUCAUGCCCCUUAUGUCCAGGGCUUCACGCAUGCUACAAUGGCUGGUACAGAGAGUGGCGAGCCUGUGAGGGUGAGCGAAUCUCGGAAAGCCGGUCUCAGUUCGGAUUGGGGUCUGCAACUCGACCUCAUGAAGUCGGAGUCGCUAGUAAUCGCAGAUCAGCAACGCUGCGGUGAAUACGUUCCCGGGGCU
rnacentral:rRNA from 1 species